CGGUAAUACGGAGGAUCCAAGCGUUAUCCGGAAUCAUUGGGUUUAAAGGGUCCGUAGGCGGUCAGAUAAGUCAGUGGUGAAAGCCCAUCGCUCAACGGUGGAACGGCCAUUGAUACUGUCUGACUUGAAUUAUUAGGAAGUAACUAGAAUAUGUAGUGUAGCGGUGAAAUGCUUAGAGAUUACAUGGAAUACCAAUUGCGAAGGCAGGUUACUACUAAUGGAUUGACGCUGAUGGACGAAAGCGUGGGUAGCGAACAGGAUUAGAUACCCUGGUAGUCCACGCCGUAAACGAUGGAUACUAGCUGUUGGGAGCAAUCUCAGUGGCUAAGCGAAAGUGAUAAGUAUCCCACCUGGGGAGUACGUUCGCAAGAAUGAA
rnacentral:rRNA from 1 species